rnacentral:rRNA from 1 species
CCGGCCCACUGGGACUGAGACACGGCCCAGACUCCUACGGGAGGCAGCAGUGGGGAAUAUUGCACAAUGGGCGAAAGCCUGAUGCAGCAACGCCGCGUGAGGGAUGACGGCCUUCGGGUUGUAAACCUCUUUCAGCAGGGACGAAGCGCAAGUGACGGUACCUGCAGAAGAAGCGCCGGCCAACUACGUGCCAGCAGCCGCGGUAAUACGUAGGGCGCCAGCGUUGUCCGGAAUUAUUGGGCGUAAAGAGCUCGUAGGCGGCUUGUCGCGUCGGGAGUGAAAACCCGGGGCUUAACCCUGGGCCUGCUUUCGAUACGGGCAGACUAGAAGUAGGUAGGGGAGAACGGAAUUCCUGGUGUAGCGGUGAAAUGCGCAGAUAUCAGGAGGAACACCGGUGGCGAAGGCGGUUCUCUGGGCAUUUCCUGACGCUGAGGAGCGAAAGCGUGGGGAGCGAACAGGAUUAGAUACCCUGGUAGUCCACACCGUAAACGUUGGGAGCUAGGUGUGGGACUCAUUCCACGGCGUUCCGUGCCGCAACUAACGCAUUAAGCGCCCCGCCUGGGGAGUACGGCCGCAAGGCUAAAACUCAAAGGAAUUGACGGGGGGCCGCACAAGCGGCGGAGCAUGCGGAUUAUUUCGAUGCACCGCGAAGAACCUUACCUGGGUUUGACAUAUGCCGGAAGCCUAAGAUAGGCCCCUUUUUGGCCGUAUACAGGUGGUGCAGGGCU